rnacentral:rRNA from 1 species
CCUACGGGUGGCUGCAGUGGGGAAUUUUCCACAAUGGGCGAAAGCCUGAUGGAGCAACGCCGCGUGUGUGAUGAAGGUCUUCGGAUCGUAAAGCACUUUCGACUGGGACGAAACACCCUUGGCUAACACUCAAGGGCUUGACGGUACCAGGAGAAGAAGCACCGGCUAACUCUGUGCCAGCAGCCGCGGUAAUACAGAGGGUGCAAGCGUGGUCCGGAAUUAUGGGGCGGAGAGAUGGCAAGGGCGGCGUGAAAGCCCUCAGCUUAACUGAGGAAGUGCGCCCGAAACUGCUGUGCUUGAGUGCCGGAGAGGAUGGCGGAAUUCCCCAAGUAGAGGUGAAAUUCGUAGAUAUGGGGAGGAACACCGGUGGCGUAGGCGGCCAUCUGGACGGUAACUGACGCUGAGACGCGAAAGCGUGGGUAGCAAACAGGAUUAGAUACCCGAGUAGUC